rnacentral:rRNA from 1 species
GACGAACGCUGGCGGCGUGCUUAACACAUGCAAGUCGAACGGAAAGGCCCUGCUUUUGUGGGGUGCUCGAGUGGCGAACGGGUGAGUAACACGUGAGUAACCUGCCCUUGACUUUGGGAUAACUUCAGGAAACUGGGGCUAAUACCGGAUAGGAGCUCCUGCUGCAUGGUGGGGGUUGGAAAGUUUCGGCGGUUGGGGAUGGACUCGCGGCUUAUCAGCUUGUUGGUGGGGUAGUGGCUUACCAAGGCUUUGGCGGGUAGCCGGCCUGAGAGGGUGACCGGCCACAUUGGGACUGAGAUACGGCCCAGACUCCUACGGGAGGCAGCAGUGGGGAAUAUUGCACAAUGGGCGGAAGCCUGAUGCAGUAACGCCGCGUGCGGGAUGACGGCCUUCGGGUUGUAAACCGCUUUCGCCUGUGACGAAGCGUGAGUGACGGUAAUGGGUAAAGAAGCACCGGCUAACUACGUG